CUCUCCCUAUCUCAAAAAUAAAUAAAAACGUUUAAAAAAAAAAAUGAAAUAGAACCUUCCUAAACCAGGUUCCUAGCAUCAAUGACACAGGCAUCCUGUUCUUCCUUUUUGAAGUAAGUAUUGGUUGGGGUCAGGGUUUCCAUCCUGAAUCACACAGGCUGAAAGCAAAGCCUUGUGUCUAAGAAGAGGAGUGCUUUUUAUUCCUCUGCCAAAAUUAUUCCUGAGAUGGAAUGAGAGGGGGGUCCAGGCAGGGCAGUUCAGUCGCCCCGUUGCCCAGUGCCUGGCAGGUGUCGUGGGGAAGCUUGCAUUUGUGUGCUGUGGUCGUGCUCAGAGCGUUCAUAACCACUGUCGCUUUCCAACCACGUUGAAGCUGGAAAAAGCAGGAACGAGUCCGAUUCUGGGUGGCAUAUGGUGACCGAUGGCUUGUGGGGCAUUCUGCUCUCUGGGCAACCUCCUUCAUCUGAACCCUGGCGGAUCCCAGGUAGGAGGUUGUCCAGCCAGAAUCGUCACGGAGGUCCUGCACAAAAUGCUUGACCUUGAUGCUGACCCCCUUCGUUAUUUGUUUCCCAAGUAUCUGGCAGAAUGAAAGCGCUACAGCAAAAGCAGGAGGGAGUGGUGCUCCUUGCCCGUCAAGAACAAUUUCUUUUCGAUUAGGCAACAUGGUCCUGAAAACCUGAAAAUGCCACGUAGAGCCACUUAGUGAAGGGUUCAGGGGGUCUGUGAGGUUACUGGCUCACACCUUUAUCAUAAUUCCUAUCAUCGAUGAUGGCCCUAUUUAGAAAACCGUGCGUGGCUUGGUAUACGAAAGCAGGGACAUUUGUGUUACAUUUUGAUUUGUUUCAUCCAGAGUGGUUGAACUAGAGAAGGUUGGGGCAUUCGUUACAUUAGACAGCUAAAAAAAUAUUUCGCCGUUUUAAUUUUAUCUUCUUUUUAUUGUCAAGGUAAGACAUUUUGUUGUUGUUCUAUGUUAUGCCAUUUUUCUAUCAGGUUUGGCUGUUUCUUAUUGAUUUAUCAGACCUCUUUACAUAUUAAGGAUAAUUAUCUUUAGUCUAUGGUUUGUUUCACAGACCAGCCCUCCGACCAUCAGUUUGUUUGCCUGUGAUUGGUGAUGGGAUAUCUCCUCAUGCCCCAUGUAAGAGGUUUCUGGGUUUUGUAAUGAGCUUUGUGGUAUUUUCCUUAUGCCUUCUGGAUUGAGUUAGCAUGCUUAGAAAAACCUUCCACACCGAACAGAAGUGGCCAUUUGCCACAUAUUCCAGAUAACCAAGGCUUAUCUGUAUUUAGAAUCUGUGCCCAUUAGGAGUGGUCCUAUGGAGUAAGACGUUGGAGUUCUAGCUUAUUCUUUCCUUUCCUCUUUCUUUCUUUCUUUCUUUCUUUCUUUCUUUCUUUCUUUCUCUUUCUUUCUUUCAUUCUUUCACAGAGAAAGAAACUCUCACAACUUUCACAACUUCCUUUCUCCCUGGAGGUAAGAUGAGGAACUAGGAAACCAUCCAAACCCCCUCCCUCCCUUUUGGCAGAGGGCUUCUGGAUGGCAUUUUAAAGAGUCUGUUUGCUGACAACAAUAAAAACCAACUUGGAGGUAUAUCUGCAAAACUGGUAAAACAAGAAAGGCAAGUCCCUUGGCUUUUCUGGGCCUGGCGGCCUUGGACGGCACCAAAGACAGACAAGCCCGGAACUUUCAGCAGGUCAUAUUGAAGCAGGUUUCAGCCUCAACUGCACCUGCACACGGCACCUGUGGGCUGCGGACAGUGAGGGACCUGAGCCUGGCACGGUUAAGUCACUUGUCCAAAGUCACAGACCUGGGACCUGAACCCAGACUAGCAGACCUCAGAGCACCACACCGCCUCCUCCCUGCUCCCAGGUGCUCCGAAACUGACCCCGACGUGCGCGUCUGUGUGUGCACAGAGAUGCCUCUCCUGCUGGAAGUGGACUCUGGGGUCAGCCUCCCCACCUCUCUCUCCUGGGGUCCGCCCACCCCCCCACCCCCACCCCCCGCCGUCCCUCUCAGCUCGUCCUCUGCUCCCUGCUCCAGAAGUACACUUAGGCCCUGCAUCUCUGCCCUCCCUGGUGGAGCAGAAGCUGUGUCCCUGCGUGGUGGCCACGGCACACAAUAGCCACUGCUCCCAGGGCCCGGCUCCUGCUGACCACAGCGGCCUCGUGACCCGCAUAGCGCACUGUCAGGAGAACGUGAAACAAAAAGCCUUUCUCCCUGCCACCGGGGCAGGACUGCUCAGAAACUGCACAAGAGCUCUUUUCAGAGCCGAGGAGGCCAGAUAACAUUUUUCUGCGUCUCUGAAAUGCAUGCUCAGUGACCUGUGUCACUGGGACAGGCCGGUAAACUGCCCAUGCUUGGUUGGCAAUGACUGGUUCCGGAGCCCCGGGUCUGUACGUUCUCCCAUGGAAGGUUCUCCUCGACUCGGCCCGUAGCGGGGAAAGCGAUCACACGCAGACCGAGCGCUCAGUUGGCACGUAUGAUGCCUCCCCACGUCGCGCGUUCCCCCAGGGCCUGUCUUCCUACAUUCUCCUUUAUCAGAGAAACUGGGGCCCCAUCCCCUCCCCGUAUUCUCCGCCAUCUUGGUGGUAUGGGUGCCUCUAGAACCAUGCGUCGGGUCAAUCGGCACCACCAGUGGGUGGAUAGAAAGUGGGACUGGAGGGAAGUUUCCACCGUCGGGCCACUCAUUCGUGCCACGCAUGCUGGGCACAGGGGGCACAGGGCGGGGGGGAGGGGGGGACCCAGGUGACCAGGUCCCUGCCCUCUCAGAGCUCAAGUCCAAGGGGGAGAUGGGUGGUAAAUAGAAUGACACGUGGAACCACAAGCACCGUGAAACGGACUCAGAAAAAAAGUAAAAGGAAAAAAUACGACUUUAUGAGCAAAAAAACCCCCACAAAAAACACAAGCCCUGACUUUUCCCCCAG